UACGUAGGGUGCAAGCGUUUGUCCGGAAUUAUUGGGCGUAAAGAGCUCGUAGGCGGUCUGUCGCGUCGGAUGUGGAAAUCCAGGGCUCAACCCUGGACCUGCAGUGGGUACGGGCAGACUAGAGUGCGGUAGGGGAGAUCGGAAUUCCUGGUGUAGCGGUGAAAUGCGCAGAUAUCAGGAGGAACACCGGUGGCGAAGGCGGAUCUCUGGGCCGUAACUGACGCUGAGGAGCGAAAGCAUGGGGAGCGAACAGG
rnacentral:rRNA from 1 species